AGAUCGAUGUUCCUUUUUAGAUCAUUUUCAGCUUGAAGGAUUUUACGCCAAUUCAUCGGAAUUCAGUAAAACUAUGUGAGGUUGGUGACCUCGGUAGUUUAGGCAGCUUUGCAAAUCUGCGAUCUCCAAAGAAACUCACAUCUAGACUUCUUUUUAAAAAGGCCAAAAUAUUCUGCCAAAAAACCUUUAUUGCUUCCAUUUUUAGGAUGAUUCUUUUCUGGGUUUUUAGGCGUAGUUUUUUUGAAGCCUGAUUUUUCCCAGAGCAAUUCAGGUUCCCAAAAGGAAUAACAUUUUGUUUGAUUUUCCGAAGGUCGAUAUUUUGGAACAUUUUGGCAUUCACUCGUUUAAAGCAGGUACUGUGAGCCAUUUAAGUUUAGUACCGUUGAGCAAUAAAAAAAUUUUAUGGAGAAAUACUUCGCCGAAGACAGAAAAGAAAUAAAGUUCAUCAAAUCAAUUUUAAUCAUAAACUAUAAAGUAAGGUAAUCAAUAACUAACUUUUUCGACGAAUUGUUACAGUUUUUUGCCACCUUCAGAAGUGCAUUUUUCAUUUCUUCACCGGAUUUUGAACCAAAACCAUUGUACCUAGUGUCCUGCAGCCCCAGGUGCUCGUUCCGCUGGAUUGUUUAUCACCGUUAAAGAACUACAUUUCUUGUUCGCUUCAUUCUAAUGCUUUCGUGAAUUUCGACUCUCAGGAUCUUCGUCCAGGAAACCGCAUUUUAACAACGAAUUGGCGUAACCUGAGGUCAUGUUUACAGGCACCACCACGAUGCACAGUGGUCGGAGGCCGGAAAAAAACCUCGAUUUUUCUUGUCAAUAUUUUUGAUGUUUUGCAUUUUUCCGAAGAUUCUCAAUCUGUAAAUGACCUAUUCCCAAAGUUUUCUGACAAUCGGCUGAGAUGAUUUUUAAUCGCACUUUGAAUGUUGGUAUAUCCGGCAGUUUUGAAGGUUUUCAUGUUUGAGAUCACAAUUUUUAGCUUAACUUCAAACACCAGCGUAACUCCCUCAGUUAUGAUCCGAUUUUGAUUCAACAAGUUUCAUUUUGAAGGGAAAUUUAUGUACUUUUUGGUUGAUUUUCAAGACUUGGCAAAAAUACAACCAAUUUCUCAAUCGAGGUAAAACAUAUUGCAGGGAUGCCAAAAAAACAUGUAUUUCUAAUUUCAUUUCUACCGUACAAUCUUGUGAAACAGUUCGAAACGAUCGGAUAACCAACAAUCAAUGGGAAAUAUAUUGUACUUUUCAGAUUUAUGGGUCACGUUUUGCACAUCAUUGCUCAUAGAGAGAUAUUUUGAAAUUAAAACUGAGGAGACGUAUAGUGGUCAGUUGUAAACUAUUCAGUUUCGUAUAUUUAAACAAAAUGAUUGACUGGGAAGUACAAUUGAAGUUUUUUCCAGUAGUCUCGAGCAUUGUUAUAUAAAAUUGUAAACCGCUUCCAGUACUACAAGUUGCAUAAAGAGGGGAUAAAUUGAAUUGAGGAGAAAAAAAUAUAUCGUCUUUUAUAUUUUUAAUGACGAUAAAAUAAACUACCAUACGAUCUCAUAAUUUUCUUUAAAAGACCUCUCACUUGUCGUAGAAAGAUCUUGAAUUGCUCAAACGGCUUAAAAGCAAAAAUUUUUCAAAAUAAAAUGCGACGAUUUUUACAUCACCCUAAUUCAUAAAGGAGUAGCCCACAAACCAAACAAAAAAAUACGAUUCUAAAGAUGUAGAUAUUGAGAUGAAUACAAAAGCGGUUCCCCUACUAAAACAUGAUUUAAAACAUGAUUGGAGCAAAAAAAAUCUGAUCAUGAAAAAGACCUAACGGCACUUUUGGUGCGUAAAUUGCUAUUUUAAACAUUUUUUGACAUCAGAAAUGAGUUCACCACCCCAAAAUUGUAAUACAGUGGAAUUUCGAUAUCACGAUCAAAAAAAGAUCCUCCCGUGAAUCCAACGAAACUGUGGACUUGGUAAAAUGAUAAAAAUUAGAAUUUUUCGUUAGAUUUCUCUGCUAUGUAACAAAAAUUACUAACCUUCAUUAUUUCCUCGAAUCCUAAGUUUCGCUAAAUUUACUGGAAAGUGUUUUUUUGUCCGUGAUAAAAUCAAAAUUCCACUGUAAUAUGUAAUUUCCAAUCAUUAAAAAAACAUUUUUAGGUUUUUUUCGACCUUUGUUCAGAGAGCUGCCACUGUGCAAUGUUGUCCUCGGAGGAAACUCAGCUUUCGGUACAGAGGUACAGGAGCUUGUGAACUGAUGAGAUUAUGUAAGAACGUGCAGGAACGGUGAUCGUACAGAACGUUCAAAGGAUAAAAAGUUUCGAAUACAACGAGAACAAUGAUCCAAUCACAUGCGAGCAUUCCUAGCACAGACGAAGUGAAUGGACACCAACCAUUUCGUGAUAUUCUCUGUAUCAAUAUCAGGAAAAAAAUGGCAGAGUUUCUCCGUUCCAAUAGGUCAAUUUAUGUUUGCUUCCAUGAACUUAGACUAAUUUGAUGUCUUGAAGAUAAAGAUUCUUCGAAAAGUUUAAAACAACCCGUCGUCUUGACCAUUUUCUUAACCUGCUGUUAGAGUGUAGCAAAAACUGAUGUCUUGAAAAAAAAACAUUAACAUUUUAAGAGCAUCAGUACCGUACAGUGUAUGUGGAGCAGAGCGUCGCAGGUCUGUCUAUGAUUGCGGUACAAUUAUUUUCGUACAUUUUAGCGCUACACAGCGGUACUAUUCGUUUUGCAGCGGUACACUUCUAUUCGUUCAUUUCUGUUCUUGUGCAAUCGAGGAAAAACUUCAACGCUGCUGCUGAUGGCGAUUAAAAGUUUAUCUCACGAAUAUGAUCGACAAGCAUUGAAUAUUUUUGCAACGGUUAUAAGUUAUUGUUGUUUCAUUUCAUCUUCGAUAUUCAGUAAAUAAUCGUGAACGGCAUAAAAUCGAAAGACUAAAUUCCUACAUCUACAAACUUUUAGGAGAGUAAGAGCCGGCGAAUGUUUGUGAAUUUUUAGUCCAUUUGCUCAACCAACCUACCCCCCCCCCUCCUCGCUUCAUGCGUUACGGAAUUUGAGUACGACGCCUCUUACCACACUAUUUAUAACAUGUAAAGUAACAAACGAAAAUCAGAAUACAUGAAAAUGGCACAAAGCUAAGAAAGGCAAACAAACAUUGUCGCAGGUCACAAAAUUGUCCAUCAUUUAACUAUCUAACAUAUUGGUUAUUGUAAUUCAUCGUAUGAUUUGACAGUAAUUAUUGUUUAAAAUCUUCCUAUUCCUAAAUCACAGUUUGGUUUAAGUUUCCGCGGAAUGUACCCGAUUUAGUGUGGUAGGACGAAAUCCUACGUCAAAAAAGCGUUGUUUUCAUUUUCAAUCAUCCUCCAUUUCAAAAUUCUAGGUUCAUGCAGACGGCCUUCCGGCAAUUAAUAGGAACUUUCGCAACGACAGACGAAAAUAUGCGAGUAGGCAUGUUUUCGAGCUCUAUCUUCGUUUUAUUUCCCCUCCCAGUUGGUCUCGAGGUACGAUACUGGUCUAACAAACCAGUUGUCGUAGGUUCGAGUCUCAGCUCGGGAGAGGUACUGUUAAUGUCAGUUGGAUUGUAGCGCUAACCCCGCAAUUGUCCUGUACACUCAACAGUUGGCUGCGAAGUCUGUGUAUAAGAAACAGAAGGUCGAGUUCCGAAUAGGAAUGUAGCCCCAAGGCUUUGCUUUGCUUCGUUUUAUUCGUCAAUUCCUCCUUAUUUUUCGCGACAAAAUUUUUGGUGUAGAUCUUACGCUUCAAAUUUGACCAGAAAUUCUCAACGCCGCUAGGGGACAUUGAGCGGGUUUGCCGACUUGCGUACCACAUCGAUAUUCAGCCGCUCCAUCCCUCCAUCGAUCGAAGCGAUCUUCGAGAAGUGGACUGACGCCAGAUCCUGUCAGAACACUGCGUCUUCGUCCUUAUGGUAUAUCUUGAUGAACAACGCAACUUUCGGCAAGCACUUUAUACUAUGAAUUCCCCCGUUCGUGGCUAAUUUAGAGCGAAAGAAGAGAGGUUUUUCUCUCCCCUUCUCACUGAUUGUCAGCCACAGUAGCACCUUCUUAGGAAACUUAAUGUGUGGGGGAAGAAAAAUACGAAGUGCCCUGCCGGUCGUUGCCAUUCUGGGUAAGAUAGGUCUCAUCGUCCAUCUCUAUCGCCACGUCGCCAUUCACCGGGAAAAUCGACUUGACCAUCUUAUUCAGCCGCUGCCGCUGCGUCAUUGCCUGCAACUCCAAAGCCAGUGGACGGGACUGCCGUCUCCUGACAUAUAUGUUCAUGUUCGCCAGGUACUUUUUCACUGUUUGGCCGGUUGCAUCGACCUACCGGCCAAACGCACGCAGCGAUGUAACCAAUCCCUCGGUCUUCCUCUUCAGCUUUUUAUCGGUCAGGCUUGUCGGCCGUCCGGAACCGGGCUUUCUUUUAAUGCUCUAAUUGUUUUCCAAUAAUGCCAUGUUGAAGAUGGCGGAAUGGGUGUAUCCAGCGUCCACAAAGUGCCUCACGAUGUCGUUCUUUGAACGCGCACACUUCUGAACGGGGUAGUUUCUCUGUUUUCGCCAUGACGAUUAGAGUUCGACUGAUAGAGCUGUCAUUUUUUUCUGCUGACUCGUGGAUUACUAUUAUUGACGCUGCGUGGGUAGUUUCGUCACAGCGUGUAAAGGUAAACUCAUGGAAAAUCGGCAAUUUUUAUCUAUUUUACUUGUAAACACUAGUUAUACGUAAGGUAUCGAACGUCUUCGGCAAUGGAUUUCUUCGGCAGACUUUUGCAUACCCUACUCAAUUUGGGAUUCUUUUUUGCUCUCCUUUCGUAGCCUUAAAACCCAUUUUUUCCGAUUCUAAACUUAAUUUGGAAAAAAUAUUGAUUGACUUCUGUUGGAAUUCAGAAAUAUUUUGUUAACAGUUUGGAACUCAAUUUGGGAUUAUUUUCAUGUUUAGCCUUUUCUGACCUUGAGAAGUAGUUUUUCCUACCAUUACAUUGUGGUCCCCCCAUAGCACCGUGGGGCGACUCCAUACAAAGGCUGGCCAAGCAAAAAAGUGUCGAUAAACGCGACAAAAACUUGGUAUUUACAUGAUUUUGGGGCGCUGAACACGAAUUUGGCAUUAUUUUUGUUUGGGGCCGUCCAUAAAGGACGAAACCCAAUUUUUAAUAUUUUUUGGCACUUUUUUCGUUUUUUAUAGAAUUAUAUGAUCUUUGACCACAAGUAGUGCCACUGGGCGUCCUCCCCAUUGAAAAAAAUACGUUAUUUAUGGACGACCCCUCGAACUAAACAAAUUUUGCCUUAAUAAAUAUAUUUUUUUGAAUAAACUAAAACAACAUAAGAAAUACAAACUAAUUACAAAUUGAAAAAAUCAUCAACAGCAUCAUCAUCUUUGGCUGUGAUCGCUUAAAUCUCGUGUUGAAUUGUUUCCAGAAAAUUUGAAGUUCAUUAUACUUAUCAGCAGGAAAAAUGUCUUUCGCUGCAAUUUUCACUUCUUCUAGUAAUUUUCGAUGUUUCAUUGUUUCAUAUAUACGUUAUCUUCCUAAUCUGGUUUCUAUGGUUGAAAGAGGGCAUUUAAAUACAUGUAUAACACCAUGAAUUGACAACUUACUAGACAUUGAAUUAGGUGGUGUCGCUGAAGUUGAAGGCUCCAUAAUAAAAUUUAACGACUUUAUGAAUUUGAAAACCAAGACACUGGAAUGACACAACGUUCUAAAUGAAUACGAAAAGAUGCGGAGCGCGACGACUGUUCUUGGUUUUUUUUUCUCAUAAAGCAAAAUGUGUGCUUUACUUUUGUAUGCAAACGAGUGCGAAGCAAAAGCAAUCUUCAAACGGGCUAUUGUUAGCCGGAGUUUGAUGGUAUGAAUUUGCUGCUAGUAUUUAACACUUCCAUCAGUUUAGCGAAUUUCAUGAUCAUAAAUUGAAAAGAGCUGAAUGUUUUUAAUAUUGUUUUAAAAUUGCAGUAAGUGAUAAAGUUUGACAUAAUUAAAAGUUUCAUAAAGAUUUGUUUAUAAGCUAUUUUCUUUUUUAACACUUAUUUUAUAACUUUUAAUUGAUAAGUUUUGUAAUUUUUACCCAAAUUUUUGUUUUAUUCUUACGGAUUGAGCUCGAUAUCAUAAAUUUCCAUUAAUGGGGUAUCAUGGUUAUGAUUAAAAUUAACCCUGGUUGAAAUUUCAACCUCAAAAAAAUGAAAAAAAACUGCUAUCGCUUUUUUCACGAAAGUGACAAUUUGCGCAGUUUUGCGCAGCAGCAGACAGUAUGCAUGUGAAAGCUUACGUUUUUACCUAAAUUUUGAAUGUAGUCACAACCGUGGCAAACUGCGGCAACUAAACUUUUAAGCAACUUUCCUACAAAAAAUCAUGUUGUUUUUAAUUUUUUCUAGUGUCAGGCCUAUUAUGACCAAAUUUUACAAUAUCUAAUGAAAAGGGUUUGUUUUGCACAAUAUUUACAACAACUUUUUCUUUGACGUCAAAAAAAUGCAAGCUAUCAUUGAAGCUACAGAGCGUUUCAAAGUAAUGUACUUUUUUUCAAAAAUAGACAAAAAACGUCAGUUUGCCAAGCUUUGAAAAGUCAUAAAAAGUUCAGAUUUCAUGAUAUUGCGCCCAAAUUUUGGAUUUAGACACUUGAAUGUUAUAGCAAUAAAGGAAAAAUAUUAUGAAACAGCUGACGAAAAAAAAUUUUUUUUUUGGCUGAUGGCCAGCGAUUCCCCACUGUGCAUAGGUCAUAAAGGCAAAAAUCAAAUUUCGUUAUUUUGGUAUUUUUUCACCUCUCAGCGUCCUUCGUAGUCUGAAGCUAACAAUGGCAUCAAUUACUAACAAUGGCAUCAAUUACGAAGGAAUUGGUAAUACAUUUUUGCCAAAGGUCAUAUAUCUCCAGGACUUUUCCUUACAAAGUUAUAUCAAAUUUUAGCUUAUUUUUUCGAUAACUUCAAGAACGUAUAGGUUAAAAAGGGUCAACCUGGAAUUAUUUUUGACCUUAAGAAGAGUUUUUUUCGCUAUUUUGAAUUUAAUUUGGUAAAAAUUUGUUGGACUCAGGUUGUUUUUCUGCCUGCAAUUUGUCGAUUUCUCUAAUUCAAUUUUUUUAUUUUUACAGUUUUCCUGGUUUUUAGAUGCGUUUUUUUGCCAUUCUAAGGUCAAUUUCCUUUGGUUACCUUCGUUCGUUCGUUUUUUUCUGACCUUUGAAAACAUUUUGUUUUUUUUUUUUUUUUGCGUCGCUAUUCCGAGGUCAACUCAAAAAUACUGUUUUAUUUUAUUUUGUGUUUGAUUUUUCAUGCAAAAUCAAAAAAUUUUAUUUCUUUAUUUUGUACAUCCUUUAAUUUUUCUGAGCGGUCUUUGAAAACGUUAAUUCACCAUCCUAAGAUCAAUUUAGGAAUAGAUGUUUUUUAAAUUUUCUGUUAUUUAGAAACUCCUUUUCGCUGUUUGGAGCUUAAAGUGAAACGGGACGUGGUCGCGAUCAACUCGAAUUUUGCAAUCUAUUUUUUUCUUGAUUCAUAAAGACUACGUAGGGUAAUUGACGGCUUCGUCAGGUGAUAUGCAUUGUGGGCAGGAUACAGUUUGCCAAGCUCCACUGCUUUUAUUCCACUUAGAAACUCAAUGUAUGUGAACUUACCUUGAACGUUGAAGUUUUUCUGUUCGCAUGAAUGAAUCACUUCAUCUAAAACUCAAACAUAUUUAUUGCUAUUUAACAAAAAUUAAACUGCAACUCUAACACAUCCAGAAAUUUCACCCGGCCGAAGAAAACAUUCACGAAACACAUCUUCGCCGCUAGCAAUAUUUGGUUACGAUUUUCUCGAGAAAUAUACACUCGUUCACUCUCAAAUAUUCUUAGUUCUGUCGCACUCGCGAAAGCAAAUAACUCAUGCACUUUUAACACUCACAAUUAAUGAAGGAUACGUGAUGAAUAAAGUUUAACUUCACCUAACACAUCCAACAGGUUGGUUUACUUCGUCAGCAGACAGCACGGCAUGUUUGCUGCUGUUUUUGUUGCCAGAACAAAAGGAGUUGUUUCUGUUGCGAAACGUGCCGUAUCCUUUUUUUGAAUAGAGUUUAUGACAUGUGAAACCAUGUUUUGAUGUUGAUUGAAUUGCAAAAACUCUUAUUGCUAUUUGCAUAUUCCUACACAAAGAAACUACUUUAUAAAUCAAAUAGAUUUAGUAAUCAGAUUUAGAGAACAAACAUAUUUUGCGGUAAAUUUGGAGCCAUUGCACACGCUGCGCACUGCGCAAAUAUCUCGAUCCCUUUUGUUCUCACACAGUAAACGACAUCAUAAACAAUGAUGGUGAUCGGCGAUAAAAUCGGCGAUAAACAUGCGAUUUUUUUCAGCGUGUGAGUCAACUUCGUCUCUCAGUCGGUUCUAACAUUCAUCGUACGAUAUGCCAGUCCGAGUGAACCAAUUCGGAGAUUCGCUGAGAUAAUUCAUUCUCUCUCAGAGAUGGAAUUUCCAGUAGCUCUACAAACAGAUGAUUCACUCUUCGCUGAUAGAAUCCAAGUGUCAAAACAAAAGAGAAGAAUCGCGAGACGAUAAUUAUCGGAAAAGAGAAGUGAUUGCGAUCGCUUGGACAAUUAUCCCCCUUUCUUUCUGAGUCGCAAGUGUUGACAGUAAAAUAAGUUUUUCAUCGUUUAACACAAUGUUGCUUGCUGUUGUAAUUGUCAACUCAAUGUUCCUUUGUUCGUCGGUUUUUAUUGCAUCGAAGGUUUGUUCGCUAAUGUAUGUUGGCCGAUAUCGAAGUUUAUUUUUAAACAAGCAAAAACCUGCACACAUUUUGGAAAAAAAAUCCGCAAAUAUAAACAGAUUCGAAAAAAGUUUGCAAGCUACGCAAAAAGUAACAACAAAUAUGUGCCAUUUGAAAAAAAAAACAAAAUCGGCCACGGACUCUGAAAAUCUACAUUUCACAGACAAUUCUGUUAAUCUGGUGUCCUUGUUUUGUGCUGCCUUUUAAUUGGUUCAACGCUUGCAGUUUUUUCCCUCUCUGGUUUUUUGGUUUGUGAUACAAUUUUACGAUUGUCGGGACACUCUCACUCACAAGCAGCGAAGGAAAAAAAUCACCUCUAGCGAUUAAUGAAUACAUAUAAACAAGCAUAGGAUGCGUUGACAUCGUCGUCAGUAUGCGAAAAACAAUGUAUCGGUGCUGGUGCUACUCUUUUCGCUUUCCUCUUUACGAUAUAUUUCUAUUCAUUAGUGUACACCACAAUACGUGGUUCUCAAUGUGCACAACUCGGUAUAUGAAGUUAUUCGUCUCUGUUACAGAGAGCGAUCAGAACUUGUUAUAUCCUCAUUCUUUUGACUCUUGAAUAUGAUUUUUUGUCAGAAAAAGAAAGAAAAUGACAGUGUAUGCUCUCCUACUCUCGCCUAAACUCAACCGCUGCCGAAGUAGUUCCUUCCCCCACACAUUCCCUCUCACCACACCACACCUCAGCUGCUGUUGCUUUCAACGGCUCAUAUACAAAAAUACAAAUAUGACAUCACUAGUAUUAAUUUGCACGUACAACUUAUGGCGUCAGAAUUCUACUUAUAUUUUGAAUGGCGGAAUAACGAAGAACGUUUAUUUGCAAUUCAUAGCAAUGAAACUAGAUGAAACGAGUAUAGUUUUACAAGCUUUCUUUCCCUCUCU